CGAGAAAAAAUGGUUCUGCUUUGUCUCAUCACCACACUUACAUGAAGUCUUAAGUGUUCGGGGGGGUACAGGUGCCCGGUGGGCCCGGAUAAAUAUAAGCUGCACUCACAGUUCCACUGUACAGACCUCAGGAGGGACAUUCAGAUAAACACCUGAAAAUAUCUGACGAUGGCCUUGCUCAAGAUCGCUCUGCUUCUCGCCGUUUGUCUUGAAGGCUGUGCUUUGGCUUCAGCUUUGCAAGUUGAUGGUGUGCAAAGUUUUCCUGACGACCAGAGAGCAACUGGGGAUGUCUGCCAGGACUGCACUAAAAUAAUUGAACUCCUUGCUGACAUGAUCUCCAACGCAGACCUCCAG